rnacentral:lncRNA from 1 species
AUCAAAUUUAAUUGGCAAACAAAUAAAAUAUAGCACAAGUGUUGUAAACCAAACAACUCCAGGACAAUAAGAUUUUUAACAUGUUUAAGUAUUUAGCAUGUUAACUAUGGCACGAGAAAAUCCUUGAUAAUGAUAGAUGUAUUAUACAUAAAUCCGUACAUAUUGUUUGAUUACCUACAUAUAUACAUGAUAUACCUUGACGCAAAAAGUAAAAUAACAAAACUGCCGACUGACUGUCAAAAUAACUGUCAUAUUCCUUACUUAGUGCACAACAUUCAAUUCAAAACGGAAAGACUCUUAUAAAAGGUCAAAAUCAAACAAACGAUAGGUCAACUGCAAUAAUCCUAACUUGAUACAUGCAUUUCCUUAUGACGAAAAUGGUAGAUUAAACCUGAAUAUAUUUGCACAAAUUUCAUACAAUCUGACAAAAGUAUUAAAUAAUACCAUAGCCACCUUUCGACAUUUAAAAAACAUUUAAUAUAAAUUCAACAAUCUUGUGCUUUUAUAAUUAUUAUCAAAGGAACCAGCUAGAUGCGCGUUUUGUCUACAUAAGACUCAUCAGUAACGCUCAGAUCAAAAUAGUUAUAAAGACAAACAAGUACAAAGUUGAAAAGCAUUGAGGACCCAAAAUUUCCCAAAAAAGUUGUGCAAAAUACGGCUGUUCCAGGUUAGUGGAAGGAUUCGUGUCCAAAGUCUAUAGCGUGCAAUUCAGUGGUUGUCGCUGGUUGCCUUUGAUUGUUUUAAUUUUUCG